UGGCUCUGGCAUCGAUGAAGAACGCAGCGAAAUGCGAUAAGUAAUGCGAAUUGCAGAAUUCCAGUGAGUCAUCGAAUCUUUGAACGCACAUUGCGCCCUUUGGUAUUCCGAAGGGCGUGCCUGUUCGAGCGUCAUUAUCACCCCUCGGGCCCCGUGCUCGGUGUUGGGCGGCCGGUUCGGGCGACCGAACCCCCCCUAAAGACAAUGACGGCGGCCUGUGGUUCCCCCGGCACACUGAGCUUUUCACGAGGCACGUGCUGGAGGGCGCUCAGGACCCCCGGUCCUCUCCUCUCGGUAGGAAACUUCUCAUGGUUGACCUCAGAUCAGGUAAGAAGACCCGCUGA
rnacentral:misc_RNA from 1 species